rnacentral:lncRNA from 1 species
GUUCAUUCGGCACCACGACCUUCAGCAUGCAGUGGAAUAACUGUUGGAGUUGCAUCUGAAAGUUAUAUUGAAGACGAGCUUGGGAUGACCCGUUGUCCGUCGCACAGUUGUGGCUGCGAACAGAAAGUUACCUGUCUACACAGAGGAGGCUCAUGCACAUGCACUUGCGCGACAAAAUACGAACACUGCUCGCGUCCAUGGAAAUCUACUUGCCCCGUUGUCUAUUGCCGUGGCGAACAUACAAGAAGGUGCUUGUGUACCUGUGUUACACCGCCGCCUGUCCAUUCUCCGAGUCGGCCCUGCUGUAACCGAGUACCCACACCAUCCUCAAACUCACCUUGUUGCCAAAAUGGGGGCAUAGUCAACACCGCUCCAGUUCAAUCCCGGCCCUGCUGUAAGCCAAUUUCUGGUGGCCGUUGAAUUAUCAAAGAA